UAACACAGCUAGCCCUCUUGUUUGAGGCAUACGAAAACAAAUUUAGUUUCAAAUUUUCGUAAUUCUUUUAAAGUACUCACAUUCUUAAAUACACGGCUGUCUGAUUCAUGAAUAAAUUCUCGAGGUAUUAUUUCCGAUGAUGACGACGGUCUGACCUUGGGUCUAUGUCGGUCAAAACAAAACAAGACAAGGAAACGGAAAAGGAGGAUUCGAAAGCAAUCGUUGUGCCGAGAGGAAACGCUUCUGUUAUAGUACGAGUAUGUUAAAUUCAAGUUCAAAUUAAAUUACCUCGAUAAUGUUGUGAUAUCCUUAUAACAGCAUUAAAAUGUAAUCUUUUGAUUCCCUUUUAUUUUUUAAUAAAA